AUGCCGGCGGCUCCUGCGGUACCUAUAUCUGCGCGUGGGGUUAGACUGACAGCUGGGACCGGCGGCUCACAGGGCAGAGCGGAGCGGAGCUCUAGGAGGCCACCACCCCAAAUCCCCUUCCUCUGCACAUCGCCAGUUUCACCGCCGCUGCGCCCGCACGACGCUGCAGGUGGCGCAGCCGCCAUGGACGAGGAGGCGAAGCCCAACACGAGCGAGGAGGCCAGCUCCAAGGCCGCCCCCGCUGCCGCUGCUGCUGCCGCCGCCACUGCGGCCGAGGCGGCCACUCCGCCGACGCCCUCGGGCUCGGAGUCGCCGGAGGGGGGGAAGGAGGAGGUGGGCGAUUUGGUGGAGAGGGUUGCGGAGCUGGUGGACGAGAUCGCGGUGAUCUCCGACUUCAGGAACGCCUACCGGAGGCAGUUCUGCAACCUGUCGCGGCGGAUCCGGCUGCUCGCGCCCAUGAUGGAGGAGGUCAAGGAGGGGCCACGCCCGUUGCCGGAGGCGUCGGUGGCCGCGCUCAGGCAGCUCAGGGACGCGCUCGCCGGCGCCCGGGAGCUGCUCCGCCUCGGCAGCAACGGUAGCAAGAUCUUCCUGGUUCUCGAGAGAGAGAAGAUAAUGCAGACUUUCCAGGACAUUACCUCGAGGCUUGAGCAAGCCUUAGCUGGUAUCUCGUUUGAUGAGCUUGGCAUAUCAGAUGAAGUAAGGGAACAGGUUGAACUGGUGCAUGCUCAAUUCAAAAGAGCAAAAGAACGACCAGAUACAUCGGAUGACAUUCUCUUUAAUGAUCUAAUUUCUGCCUAUAACUCAAGCACCAAUGAUAAUGUUGAUCCAGAUAUCAUUCAAAGGUUAUCUGAGAAGUUGCAGCUUGUCACCAUAUCUGACCUCAAUCAAGAAUCAUUGGCCUUGCAUGAGAUGGCUAGUGGAGGGGAUCCCGGUGCAGUUGUUGAGAAUAUGUCAAUGCUGCUGAAAAAGAUCAAGGAUUUUGUGCAGACCCAGGAUCCUAUAGGCAUCCCAGCAAGUACAACAAACCCUUCCCGAGAUGACAACUUGACAUCUCCUGUUGUCCCGGAUGAUUUUCGUUGCCCAAUAUCACUGGAUUUAAUGAAAGACCCAGUUAUUGUCUCCACUGGCCAGACUUACGAGCGAGGUUGCAUAGAGAGAUGGUUGGAGGCAGGGCACGGCACCUGUCCUAAGACGCAGCAGAAGCUACCAAAUAAAUCUCUAACUCCAAACUAUGUGCUCCGUAGCCUCAUAGCUCAAUGGUGUGAAGCAAAUGGUGUAGAGCCGCCAAAGCGCCCUGCUCAGCUUAAUAAUACACCAGCAACAUGUACCGCCUCUGAGCAUAGUAAAGUUAUUGAGCUCCUGCAGAAACUAUCAUCCCAGAACCUUGCAGAUCAAUGUGGAGCUGCAGGUAUGCUUCGUCAGCUUGCCAAGCGUAGCGCUGAAAAUCGUGCUUGUAUAGGAGAAGCUGGUGCUAUUCCUAUCCUUGUGAGCCUUCUACCAACCACCGAUGUUAGCACCCAGGAACAUGUGGUUACUGCUCUCCUGAAUCUUUCUAUUUAUGAAGAGAACAAAGCAAGAAUAAUUACCUCUGGAGCUGUUCCUGGAAUUGUACAUGUGCUAAAGAGAGGCAGCAUGGAGGCUCGGGAGAAUUCAGCUGCCACACUGUUUAGCCUAUCACUUGUGGAUGAGAACAAGGUGACAAUAGGGGCUUCUGGGGCAAUUCCAGCUUUGGUGCUGCUAUUGGGUAAUGGAAGUCAACGGGGUAAAAAGGAUGCAGCAACGGCACUAUUUAACUUGUGUAUCUAUCAGGGCAACAAGGGUAAAGCUGUUAGAGCUGGAUUGGUCCCUAUACUACUUGAACUUCUAACAGAGACUGAAAGUGGAAUGGUUGAUGAGGCCCUGGCUAUACUGGCAAUUCUCUCGAGCCAUCCUGAGGGAAAGGCAGCCAUCAGCGCUGCCGCCGCCAUACCAAUUCUAGUUGGAGUUAUGAGGAAUGGAUCCUCGAGGAACAAGGAGAAUGCUGCGGCUGUUCUGGUGCAUCUCUGUAAUGGCGAACAGCAGCAACAGCAUCUUGCAGAAGCACAGGAGCAGGGCAUUGUGACCUUGCUGGAGGAGCUAGCAGAAAGCGGCACAGACAGGGGGAAGAGAAAAGCGAUCCAGUUGCUUGAACGGAUGAAUAGGUUUCUGAAGCAGCAGAGCCAAGCCCAGGGAGACGCGAUGGCACAGGCGCAUGCUCAGUCCCAAACCCUGUCCCAGGCUCUGGUUCAAGUUCAAGCAGAUACUCAGCUAGAGGAAUCACUGCCUCCUACAUCAUCUCAUCUUCCUGAGAGAUGA
rnacentral:rRNA from 1 species